AUACGGAGGGUGCGAGCGUUGUUCGGAAUUAUUGGGCGUAAAGAGCAUGUAGGCGGUCUGUUAAGUCUGGUGUGAAAGCCCGGGGCUCAACCCCGGAAGUGCAUUGGAUACUGGCAGACUUGAGUAUGGGAGAGGCAAGCGGAAUUCCGAGUGUAGGAGUGAAAUCCGUAGAUAUUCGGAGGAACACCAGUGGCGAAGGAGGCUUUCUGGACCAAUACUGACGCUGAGAUGCGAAAGCGUGGGGAGCGAACAGGAGUAGAAACCCUAGUAGUCC
rnacentral:rRNA from 1 species